rnacentral:rRNA from 1 species
UACAGAGGUCCCAAGCGUUGUUCGGAAUUACUGGGCGUAAAGGGCGCGCAGGCGGCUGCUCAAGUCAGGCGUGAAAGGCCUGGGCUCAACCCGGGAAUUGCGCUUGAGACUGGGCUGGCUUGAGUGCGGGAGAGGAUGGUGGAAUUCCCAGUGUAGAGGUGAAAUUCGUAGAUAUUGGGAAGAACACCGGUGGCGAAGGCGGCCAUCUGGACCGCAACUGACGCUGAGGCGCGAAAGCGUGGGGAGCAAACAGG